rnacentral:lncRNA from 1 species
ACAUUUCACAUCUACGUCUGCUGUCCCUUGGAUCUGUUCACCCCAGAAGUCGUAAAAGUCAGACUAGAUUCUGUUAUCUGCGGAGGCUGGCCGGACCUGCCAUUCUGCACCUUUGCACCCAGACAUAAAAGGCAGGAGUCAAGGAUCACACACACUGGAGGAUGCAGCUGUGCUCUUCUGAUCGCAGUGCUGCCUGGCACUUCCCCAAAGACGGAUGCUCAGCUUGAUAACCAUUGGAGACACGGAGAAAUACAGCUGCUACUUGUCUUGGAAUGCUCACGCCAGCACGACGAGUGUGCCUUCUUUCUCUGUGGAGGGUUUCUAAUUGCCAGCAGUGCCAGCUGCAUGAUUUAUGGAGCCCAUUGCAAAAUGAAAACGUGAAGCUUCUUAUUCAAAAAUCAAGACGAAAUUUUCACCGAUGGCACUAAAAUCUAGAGCUCUUCCCUUUCUUUCAUGGUCC